rnacentral:rRNA from 1 species
AACGAACGCUGGCGGCAUGCCUAACACAUGCAAGUCGAACGAGACCUCCGUGUCUAGUGGCGCUCGGGGGCGGAACGUGGGGGAAGCUGCACUUAGGUUCCGUAUCCUUCACUUUAGGGGGUGCUAAUACAGGAUAAUGUAUUCGGACCAAGGAUUUAUCGCCUUGGGGUGGGCGCGGGUUGGUUUCGCCUGUUGGUAGGGUAAAAGCCUAUCAAGGCGUCGAUCCAUAGCUGGUCUGAGAGCAUGAUCCGCUACACUGGGGCUGCGACACGGGCGAGACUCCUACGCGAGGGAGCAGAGGGUAAUAUUGGACAAUGGGGUAAAGCCUGAUCCAGCAAUGCCGCGUAAGACAUGAUGCCCUUAGGGUAGUGAAGCUGUUUUACCCGGGGUGAUAAUGACGGUACCGGGAGAAUAAGCACCGGCUAACUCCGUG